GAAUGAAGAACGCAGCGAAAUGCGAUAAGUAAUGUGAAUUGCAGAAUUCAGUGAAUCAUCGAGUCUUUGAACGCACAUUGCGCCCCCUGGUAUUCCGGGGGGCAUGCCUGUCCGAGCGUCAUUGCUGCCCUCAAGCACGGCUUGUGUGUUGGGCCUCCGUCCUCCUCCCGGGGGACGGGCCCGAAAGGCAGCGGCGGCACCGCGUCCGGUCCUCGAGCGUAUGGGGCUUCGUCACCCGCUCUUGUAGGCCCGGCCGGCGCUUGCCGACACAUCAAUCUUUUUUCCAGGUUGACCUCGGAUCAGGUAGGGAUACCCGCUGAACUUAAGCAUAUCAAUAAGCGGAGGA
rnacentral:misc_RNA from 1 species